CACGUAGGGCGCAAGCGUUGUCCGGAAUUAUUGGGCGUAAAGAGCUCGUAGGCGGACUGUCACGUCUGCUGUGAAAAGCUAGGGCUUAACCCUGGCCUUGCAGUGGAUACGGGCAGACUAGAGGUAGGUAGGGGAGAAUGGAAUUCCCGGUGUAGCGGUGAAAUGCGCAGAUAUCGGGAGGAACACCGGUGGCGAAGGCGGUUCUCUGGGCCUUACCUGACGCUGAGGAGCGAAAGCGUGGGGAGCGAACAGG
rnacentral:rRNA from 1 species